AGCUGUUCUUAAAUAUUACAGAGCAUUUAAUGCUCGACUUUUUGUGAACGCAAUUUAAUUUUUAGCUGCCUUGGCUGACUCUUGAUGCUGCCACAGUUUUUUUUGCACCUUGGCAGACGGAAAUGUUUGUGCCGGCCCCUUGCCAAUGGCAAACAAAAAAGCGGCAAGGAAUACGAAACGAAUAAAUGAAAAACGCAGGACUCGCAGGACUCGCUGGAAAAGGCGGCAAAGGCUGGGAAAAUGUGCGCCGGCCUCAGACAGCCAAAUAAAAACGGGCCAAAACAAAUUGUGGCCCAGAGAGCCGGCCUCGUCCUUCGUCCUUUGUCCUGCGUCCUGCGCCCCUUUUUGCCACCAGCCUUAAUUCGCAGUCAAAACCAGAAAGCCACUUGGAAAUGUGUAGGGUGCAAAAAAAAAAAAAUGAGAGGGGAACUUGGAAAAAAGCCGAAACAUUUUCUUUCAUUUGUUGCGUUUUAAAUUUUCAUGCGCAGCGAGUGUCGGCAGUUACCAAGGCCUAAACUAUAUAAACACGACUGGUUGGGGGAGGCCAUCUCUGAUUUAUGCAGCCCAUAAAAUUGCCUGGCGUGAAAAAGUGGAGAAAGUCGAAGCUGAAGAAGUGCAGCAGCCAUCGAAAGGGGAAGCUAAGGGGUUGGGGAUUGGGGAUCCGGGAUUCGGGAGUCCGAAUCCAAGUCGGAGAUGGCUUAGCCCCGGGCUGAAAGGAGCUCAACGUGUUUUGGGGGCAGGCGCAGGAUGGCUGUCAGCUCGCAUCGAGAUGAGUCGGCCAAGGGUUCCUCUAAUCCUGAAGCUGAAUCCUCACAGGAACUAGUUCUCCUUGGAUUGGCAGUUAAAGAAUAUAUUUUACAGCUUUACAUUAGGUUCCAGAACUCAUAAGAUCCUUUUUUCUCUAGGUUGUCAUUUUUAAAAGGCUAUUACUACCCGACCCAUAACUUGACCCCAUGCAAUACGACUUCCUAGUGAUUGAUAUCGAUUAGUCAACAUAAAAUAUUAAUUAAAUUAAAUUUGAAGGGAUGGAAAAAAUGCGUCAGGAUUAGCAAUCAAUCAAUCAAAUAGCAGAAGCGGAAGAAUGCAUAUUCGCUAAGCCUUUCUGGGAACUCGGGGAACCAGUUUCCUGGAAUCCCUGGCUGCAGUCCUGACCAGAUAGUCACGUAGCUUAAAUGGAGUCCCAGGAGCAACCGGGAGGAUGGGGAAACGGAGGCGUUCGUUCACGUUCAUGUCGGUUGGCAGGCGGCAUUAUAAUGCAUUUUUUUUGCAACCCGUCUCUCCGGCUUUGCCAGGCACUCAUUAUGCGUUCGUCUUGAGCUCCGGACGGAGGAAGGAGGAAGGACUCGGUGCUCAGGACUCAGGACUCGGGUCUGACAGGUCCUGAAUAGGCAACAGGCAGAAGGUCUCGUGCGAUUUUUCCUUGGCCGCACAUGCCUGACUGCACUUCAAUCAAAAUCAAAUAUUACAGCUGGCAAGAGGGAAAGGCAGGUGCUAAGGUACA